rnacentral:rRNA from 1 species
GAUGAACGCUGGCGGCGUGCCUAAUACAUGCCAGUCGAGCGAACGGACGAGAAGCUUGCUUCUCUGAUGUUAGCGGCGGACGGGUAAGUAACACGUGGAUAACCUACCUAUAAGACUGGGAUAACUUCGGGAAACCGGAGCUAAUACCGGAUAAUAUUUUGAACCGCAUGGUUCAAAAGUGAAAGACGGUCUUGCUGUCACUUAUAGAUGGAUCCGCGCUGCAUUAGCUAGUUGGUAAGGUAACGGCUUACCAAGGCAACGAUGCAUAGCCGACCUGAGAGGGUGAUCGGCCACACUGGAACUGAGACACGGUCCAGACUCCUACGGGAGGCAGCAGUAGGGAAUCUUCCGCAAUGGGCGAAAGCCUGACGGAGCAACGCCGCGUGAGUGAUGAAGGUCUUCGGAUCGUAAAACUCUGUUAUUAGGGAAGAACAUAUGUGUAAGUAACUGUGCACAUCUUGACGGUACCUAAUCAGAAAGCCACGGCUAACUACGUG